GUCAAAUAUUAUUUUAGAUGUUGCUGUGAAUGUAUCUGAAAAGAUAUGAUUAACAUUUAAGUCAGUGGACUUUGAGUAAAGCAGAUGACCCUCCCUAAUAUGGGUGGGCCUCAUCCAAUCAGUUGAAGGCCUUAAGAGAACAAGGAUUGACCUCCCCCAAGCAAGAAGAAAUUCUGUCAGCAGACUGCCUUUGGACUCAAACUGCAACUCUUCCUUGGGUCUCUAGACUGCUAUCCUACGCUGAAGAUUUCGGAUCUGAGCCUCCACAACCAUUGCCUGGCUCAGAAGGACUCAACACACGUUUGUUGAAUGAAUGAAUAAAUAAAUCAUGGGAUUGCUGCUGUGAAGACAAAAUGGGCUGGAUGGUCACCAUUGAAUGGAUGUUUUCCCUGCCCUGUGGUUGACCUUUGCCCAGGAAACUACUAUGUCCUUUUCUGACUCUCAGCUGAUGUCAACCGAUCCGUUAUGGAGUAAAAGAUGAAGAAAAGCAGAGGGGUUACAGAGCGUGGCUUCCCAGCUCUGUCACCGUUGUGGAAAUCACCUUCCCUGGACCUUGGUUUUUUCAUCUGCUAAUUGGGGGCAAUGAAACAAACCUCCCAGGAGAAAAGAUGAAAUGAGGACCUGCCAAAUUGUCAACGACUCACCUCUCUGCCCUAGGCCUUUCUUUGAUUCUGUUAAUCCCACAGAAACAGAAGCUUCAGGACAUCCAAAGACUGAGAGCAGGCAAAGACCCUUUGUCCCGGUCUAAGACAAAGCUAAGCAAUUUCCAAACAUAGCCCAACCACUUCCAGCCUUCUGCCCAAGAUGAAGGUCAUGGAGGUUUGCCCAUACCAGUGGGAAAUGUGGAGCUGGGACCCAAGGACAUCUUCUCAGCCAGCCACCGUGCAUGUGACUUCCCUGGUUGAUCCAGCCAACUGCAGGACCAAGAUAUUUCUAGUGCAAGAUAGGAGAGAUGAGUAAUAGAGACCACAGCCCUUGGAAACCUUGAUCAAGUAGAAUAAGAACACCUUCCUCAGCUCUCUUUGCAAGUGGCCAAAGCUUAGUGGCUCUGGGAGAAAAAUUCAACAGGAAAACCUACAGAAGUGCCUUGAGAAAGGACCACAGUAGCCUCUUCUAAGCCAAAUUGAGUAAAUAAAAAUGAGUGCUAUUAAAAUAUCCAAUUAAUCUAAACACAAA
rnacentral:lncRNA from 1 species